UAUCAAUAAGCGGAGCAAACGGGUCCCUGCAUAGCUACUAAGCUGGAACUUGGGGAUCCGUUUCAUUGGAUUUUGGCUCUUCGUCUAUGUUCCUUGAAACAGGCACGUCCCAGAGGGUGAGAAUCCCGUGCGAUGAGAUGCCCAAUUCCAUGUAAAGUUCCUUCGACGAGUCGAGUUGUUUGGGAAUGCAGCUCUAAGUGGGUGGUAAAUUCCAUCUAAAGCUAAAUAUUGGCGAGAGACCGAUAGCGAACAAGUACUGUGAAGGAAAGAUGAAAAGAACUUUGAAAAGAGAGUGAAAAAGUACGUGAAAUUGUUGAAAGGGAAGGGCUUGAGAUCAGACUUGGAAUUUUCCAGCAAUGGAGCUUUCCGGGCCAGCAUCAGUUUGGAUGGCAGGAUAAUUGCGUAGGAAAGUGGCACCACCUCGGUGGUGUGUUAUAGCCUGCGUCGAUACUGCCUAUCUAGACUGAGGACUGCGUCUUUGACUAGGAUGCUGGCAUAAUGAUCUUAAGCC
rnacentral:rRNA from 1 species